rnacentral:rRNA from 1 species
CAUAGCCGCGGUAAUACAGAGGGUGCAAGCGUUAAUCGGAAUUACUGGGCGUAAAGCGCGCGUAGGUGGUUUGUUAAGUUGGAUGUGAAAUCCCCGGGCUCAACCUGGGAACUGCAUCCAAAACUGGCAAGCUAGAGUAUGGUAGAGGGUGGUGGAAUUUCCUGUGUAGCGGUGAAAUGCGUAGAUAUAGGAAGGAACACCAGUGGCGAAGGCGACCACCUGGACUGAUACUGACACUGAGGUGCGAAAGCGUGGGGAGCAAACAGGAUUAGAUACCCCGGUAGUCCCUGUCUCUUAUACA